GAGGAGUAUGGCUCAGUGGUAGAGUGGGUGCCUUGCAUGCAGAAGGUUCCAUGUUCAAUACCUGGUAUCUUCA
rnacentral:tRNA from 1 species